rnacentral:rRNA from 1 species
CCUACGGGAGGCUGCAGUGGGGAAUAUUGGACAAUGGGCGAAAGCCUGAUCCAGCCAUGCCGCGUGUGUGAAGAAGGCCUUCGGGUUGUAAAGCACUUUCAGUGGGGAAGAAAGCCUUGGGGCUAAUACCCUCGAGGAAGGACAUCACCCACAGAAGAAGCACCGGCUAACUCCGUGCCAGCAACCGCGGUAAUACGGAGGGUGCGAGCGUUAAUCGGAAUUACUGGGCGUAAAGCGCGCGUAGGCGGUCUGAUAAGCCGGUUGUGAAAGCCCCGGGCUCAACCUGGGAACGGCAUCCGGAACUGUCAGGCUAGAGUGCAGGAGAGGAAGGUAGAAUUCCCGGUGUAGCGGUGAAAUGCGUAGAGAUCGGGAGGAAUACCAGUGGCGAAGGCGGCCUUCUGGACUGACACUGACGCUGAGGUGCGAAAGCGUGGGUAGCAAACAGGAUUAGAUACCCUUGUAGUC